rnacentral:rRNA from 1 species
GGACGAACGCUGGCGGCGUGCUUAACACAUGCAAGUCGAGCGGUAAGGCCCUUCGGGUACGACGAGCGGCGAACGGGUGAGUAACACGUGGGUGACCUGCCUCUAGCUCUGGGAUAAGCCUGGGAAACUGGGUCUAAUACCGGAUAUGACUCCACGGCGCAUGUUGUGGGGUGGAAAGCCUUGUGUGGCUAGAGAUGGGCCCGCGGCCUAUCAGCUUGUUGGUGGGGUGAUGGCCUACCAAGGCGACGACGGGUAGCCGGCCCGAGAGGGCGACCGGCCACACUGGGACUGAGACACGGCCCAGACUCCUACGGGAGGCAGCAGUGGGGAAUCUUGCGCAAUGGGCGAAAGCCUGACGCAGCGACGCCGCGUGAGGGAUGACGGCCU